rnacentral:lncRNA from 1 species
AAAAUUCAAGACUGCUUUCUUGGUCAUUUGAUGGAACAGUGAAGGUAUGGAAUAUUAUUACUGGAAAUAAAGAAAAAGACUUUGUCUGUCACCAGGGUACAGUACUUUCUUGUGACAUUUCUCACGAUGCUACCAAGUUUUCAUCUACCUCUGCUGACAAGACUGCAAAGAUCUGGAGUUUUGAUCUCCUUUUGCCACUUCAUGAAUUGAGGGGCCACAACGGCUGUGUGCGCUGCUCUGCCUUCUCUGUGGACAGUACCCUGCUGGCAACGGGAGAUGACAAUGGAGAAAUCAGGAUAUGGAAUGUCUCAAACGAUGGCAAAAUGCUUAUCUCUGCUGGAGGAUAUAUUAAGUGGUGGAACGUUGUCACUGGGGAAUCCUCACAGACCUUCUACACAAAUGGAACCAAUCUUAAGAAAAUACACGUGUCCCCUGACUUCAAAACAUAUGUGACUGUGGAUAAUCUUGGUAUUUUAUAUAUUUUACAGACUUUAGAAUAAAAUAGUUAAGCAUUAAUGUAGUUGAACUUUUUAAAUUUUUGAAUUGGAAAAAAAUUCUAAUGAAACCCUGAUAUCAACUUUUUAUAAAGCUCUUAAUUGUUGUGCAGUAUUGCAUUCAUUACAAAAGUGUUUGUGGUUGGAUGAAUAAUAUUAAUGUAGCUUUUUCCCAAAUGAACAUACCUUUAAUCUUGUUUUUCAUGAUCAUCAUUAACAGUUUGUCCUUAGGAUGCAAAUGAAAAUGUGAAUACAUACCUUGUUGUACUGUUGGUAAAAUUCUGUCUUGAUGCAUUCAAAAUGGUUGACAUAAUUAAUGAGAAGAAUUUGGAAGAAAUUGGUAUUUUAAUACUGUCUGUAUUUAUUACUGUUAUGCAGGCUGUGCCUCAGGGUAGCAGUGGCCUGCUUUUUGAACCACACUUACCCCAAGGGGGUUUUGUUCUCCUAAAUACAAUCUUAGAGGUUUUUUGCACUCUUUAAAUUUGCUUUAAAAAUAUUG